rnacentral:rRNA from 1 species
AGCGAACGCUGGCGGCAGGCUUAACACAUGCAAGUCGAACGGGCACCUUCGGGUGCCAGUGGCAGACGGGUGAGUAACACGUGGGAACGUACCCUUUGGUUCGGAACAACUCUGGGAAACUGGAGCUAAUACCGGAUACGCCCUGAUGGGGAAAGGUUUAUCCGCCGAAGGAUCGGCCCGCGUCUGAUUAGCUAGUUGGUGGGGUAACGGCCCACCAAGGCGACGAUCAGUAGCUGGUCUGAGAGGAUGAUCAGCCACACUGGGACUGAGACACGGCCCAGACUCCUACGGGAGGCAGCAGUGGGAAUAUUGGACAAUGGGCGCAAGCCUGAUCCAGCCAUGCCGCGUGAGUGAUGAAGGCC